rnacentral:rRNA from 1 species
GAUGAACGCUAGCGGCAGGCUUAACACAUGCAAGUCGAGGGGUAGAGGAAGCUUGCUUCCUUGAGACCGGCGCACGGGUGCGUAACGCGUAUGCAACCUACCUUUUACAGAGGGAUAGCCCAGAGAAAUUUGGAUUAAUACCUCAUGGUAUAUAUCAUUCGCAUGUUUGAUAUAUUAAAGUUCCAACGGUAAAAAGAUGGGCAUGCGUCCUAUUAGCUAGAUGGUAAGGUAACGGCUUACCAUGGCAACGAUGGGUAGGGGUCCUGAGAGGGAGAUCCCCCACACUGGUACUGAGACACGGACCAGACUCCUACGGGAGGCAGCAGUGAGGAAUAUUGGUCAAUGGGCGCAAGCCUGAACCAGCCAUGCCGCGUGCAGGAAGACGGUCCUAUGGAUUGUAAACUGCUUUUAUACAGGAAGAAACCCUCCCACGUGUGGGAGCUUGACGGUACUGUAGGAAUAAGGAUCGGCUAACUCCGUG